rnacentral:rRNA from 1 species
ACGUAGGGGGCAAGCGUUAUCCGGAUUUACUGGGUGUAAAGGGAGCGUAGACGGAUGAGGAAGUCUGAAGUGAAAGGUAGGGGCUCAACCCCUGAACUGCUUUGGAAACUCUUCAUCUAGAGUACCGGAGGGGCAGGCGGAAUUCCUGGUGUAGCGGUGAAAUGCAUAGAUAUCAGGAAGAACACCGGUGGCGAAGGCGGCCUGCUGGACGGUAACUGACGUUGAGGCUCGAAAGCGUGGGGAGCAAACAG